rnacentral:rRNA from 1 species
AUUGAACGCUGGCGGCAUGCCUUACACAUGCAAGUCGAACGGUAACGCGGGGCAACCUGGCGACGAGUGGCGAACGGGUGAGUAAUGUAUCGGAACGUGCCCAGUUGUGGGGGAUAACUGCUCGAAAGAGCAGCUAAUACCGCAUACGACCUGAGGGUGAAAGCGGGGGAUCGCAAGACCUCGCGCAAUUGGAGCGGCCGAUAUCAGAUUAGGUAGUUGGUGGGGUAAAGGGCCACCAAGCCAACGAUCUGGAGCUGGUUUGAGAGGACGACCAGCCACAGUGGGAAUGAGACACGGCCAAGGUUCCUACGGGAGGCAGCAGGGGAGAAUUUUGGACAUUGGACGCAAGUUGGCUCCAGCCAUGCCGGGUGCGGGAAGAAGGCCUUCGGGUUGUAAACCGCUUUUGUCAGGGAAGAAAAGGGCGACUCUAAUACAGUUGCCUCAUGACGGUACCUGAAGAAUAAGCACCGGCUAACUACGUGCCAGCCGCCGCAGUAAUAC